AGAGUUUGAUCCUGGCUCAGGAUGAACGCUGGCUACAGGCUUAACACAUGCAAGUCGCGGGGCAGCGCGGGGGUGGCAACACUUCUGGCGGCGACCGGCGCACGGGUGAGUAACGCGUAUCCAACCUCCCCCACACCACGGGACAGCCCGCUGAAAAGCGGAUUAAUACCGUAUGUUCUCCGAAGCGGACAUCCAAUUCGGAGCAAAAGAGUAAUCUGGUAUGGGCUGGGGAUGCGUCUGAUUAGGCAGUUGGCGGGGUAACGGCCCACCAAGCCGACGAUCAGUAGGGGUUCUGAGAGGAAGGUCCCCCACAUUGGAACUGAGACACGGUCCAAACUCCUACGGGAGGCAGCAGUGAGGAAUAUUGGUCAAUGGGCGGAAGCCUGAACCAGCCAAGUAGCGUGAGGGAAGACGGCCCUAUGGGUUGUAAACCUCUUUUAUGCGGGGAUAAAGUGGGCCACGUGUGGCUUUUUGCAGGUACCGCAUGAAUAAGGACCGGCUAAUUCCGUGCCAGCAGCCGCGGUAAUACGGAAGGUCCGGGCGUUAUCCGGAUUUAUUGGGCUUAAAGGGAGCGUAGGCCGGCUGUCAAGCGUGCUGUGAAAUGCGGGUGCCCAACACCUGACGUGCAGCGCGAACUGGCGGUCUUGAGUGCGCGGGAGGCAGGCGGAAUUUGUGGUGUAGCGGUGAAAUGCUUAGAUAUCACGAAGAACUCCGAUUGCGAAGGCAGCCUGCCGUAGCGUUACUGACGCUGAGGCUCGAAGGUGCGGGUAUCGAACAGGAUUAGAUACCCUGGUAGUCCGCACAGUAAACG
rnacentral:rRNA from 1 species